GGGUGGUCUGAAGGUAAUGAGUUAAUUCAAUUGAUUGUUCAUAGUCAAUUACAAACCAAUCAAACUCUUUCGUUCUACUCUUUCCCUCUUUCUCACUACUGCACUUGACUAGUCUAAA
ensembl:misc_RNA Y_RNA Y RNA